AGUGAACGCUGGCGGUAGGCCUAACACAUGCAAGUCGAACGGCAGCACAGUAAGAGCUUGCUCUUACGGGUGGCGAGUGGCGGACGGGUGAGGAAUACAUCGGAAUCUACUUUUUCGUGGGGGAUAACGUAGGGAAACUUACGCUAAUACCGCAUACGACCUACGGGUGAAAGCAGGGGAUCUUCGGACCUUGCGCGAUUGAAUGAGCCGAUGUCGGAUUAGCUAGUUGGCGGGGUAAAGGCCCACCAAGGCGACGAUCCGUAGCUGGUCUGAGAGGAUGAUCAGCCACACUGGAACUGAGACACGGUCAAGACUCCUACGGGAGGCAGCAGUGGGGAAUAUUAGACAAUGGGCGCAAGCCUGAUCCAGCCAUACCGCGUGGGUGAAGAAGGCCUUCGGGUUGUAAAGCCCCUUUGUUGGGAAAGAAAAGCAGCAGGUUAAUACCCCGCUGUUCUGACGGUACCCAAAGAAUAAGCACCGGCUAACUUCGUG
rnacentral:rRNA from 1 species